rnacentral:rRNA from 1 species
AAUGAACGCUGGCGGCAGGCCUAAUACAUGCAAGUCGAACGAGUGGCGGACGGGUGAGUAAUGUCUGGGAAACUGCCUGAUGGAGGGGGAUAACUACUGGAAACGGUAGCUAAUACCGCAUACCAUCGGAUGUGCCCAGAUGGGAUUAGCUAGUAGGUGGGGUAAAGGCUCACCUAGGCGACGAUCCCUAGCUGGUCUGAGAGGAUGACGAGCCACACGGGAACGGAGAAACGGUCCAGACUCCUACGGGAGGAGGCAGUGGGGAAUAUUGCACAAUGGGCGAAAGCCUGAUAAAGCCAUGCCGCGUGUAUGAAGAAGGCCUUCGGGUUGUAAAGUACUUUCAGCGGGGAGGCGUUACCCGCAGAAGAAGCACCGGCUAACUCCGUGCCAGCCGCCGCGGUAAUAC